rnacentral:lncRNA from 1 species
UUGAAAAAGUUCUUUUUAAGAAUUUUAGCACUAAAAAUAAUCCUGUUUGGUUUUGUUUUUAUUUUGUUUUACAAUAAGAAGUUUGUGGUAUUAAAAAGACAUGCAAAUUAAUUUGGCAUUUAAAAAAUAGCCACUUACAUCUCCCCAAGAAACCAAAGAUAGUACUCCCAGAUCCAUUUUUGUUGUUUUCCUUCUCCUCACAUAUACAACUUGGCACAUAGUAAGUAAGGCCAGGUGAAGUGAGGAGGCUGGAGGCAAAGAGGGGCAUAGUGUCUUGUCUGUUAUGAUCCCUGUGCCUCCAGAUUGACAGACUAGGUGAUGCGCAGGGCUCUGGCUGUCCUGGUCUUCAUUUCCUUAGACAGUUAUCAGCUAUGGUUCCUCAGCGAUAGUGCUGUCCAGUCAUUUAUCCUCUGACUUCCCAGGGGGUGACUUAGGGUGGUGCUCCUAGGAAGCUUCAGGAUGCCCAAGAAAGACCAACUGGUUAAACGCUUGGCACUCAAGUUCAUCCACUGACCCACAGGAAAGGGGGAGGGCUACAGACCAGCCACUGCAGGAAUGGGAGUAUUCCAUGAAUUUGUAGGUUGGUGUGACCAGAUGGAACAGAGGUGCCACACCACUCCCUUCCUGCCCCACAUCGUGCCCUGUGUAUUGCUUUACCAGUGUUGUUCUUAUGGUCCCUAGAGUAUACCAUUGAGCACAUUUUUCUGACUUCUCUGAGGUAAUCUUGACACUCAGGUUAUAGGAAGCAGUUUGUCCCCAGUCCAUCAGGUACAAGUGCCUGGAGUUGCUAGGUGGCUUUUCUAGAGGGACAUUUGCUUACUUGGUGUCCAUUUCAGAAACGUGUGUUAACAGGGUAUUUGAACCUCUGUCUAGUUAGGGAGUGGCUCAUUUCUUAGUAUGCACCUUUAAUCCCUCUGGCUGGAAUACAGAUGCACCCUUAGUACUCACCUUUAAUUCCAGACAGUGAAGGUAGAGUUAGUUUGCAGAAGGACGCACCCAUGUUUUGAAAGUGAUGUCUAAUUGAAUGGCACACGGAAAAAGUGACAAAUCAGAGAAAGAUAGGACAAAAUAGGAUAUGGCCCACUCUCACAAGGAAAGGGAAGCUACGUAAGGAAGAGGCAGACAGCCCAAGAAGGGAGUCCAGUUGGUGGAGAGCAGUGCAGUAGAGUGAGAGGGCGAGCAGAGCAGCCCAGAGAGGGAGGAGGAGGCAGUGUUACCAGGAGAGUUUCACAGAGACAGACUGAAGAGAGAACAAGCUAGUAACAGUAAAGAUAGCGUGAGC